ACGGCAAUACCAUGCUGAAUAUACCGGUUCUUGUUAGAUCACCGAAGUCAAGCAUCAUUAGGGCUUGGGUGGGUGACCACCUGGGAACACCACGUGCCGUUG